rnacentral:rRNA from 1 species
CGGCGGACGGGUGAGUAACACGUGGAUAACCUACCUAUAAGACUGGGAUAACUUCGGGAAACCGGAGUUAAUACCGGAUAAUAUAUUGAACCGUAUGGUUCAAUAGUGAAAGACGGUUUUGCUGUCACUUAUAGAUGGAUCCGCGCCGCAUUAGCUAGUUGGUAAGGUAACGGCUUACCAAGGCAACGAUGCGUAGCCGACCUGAGAGGGUGAUCGGCCACACUGGAACUGAGACACGGUCCAG